UACGUAGGAUCCGAGCGUUGUCCGGAUUUACUGGGUGUAAAGGGUGCGCAGGCGGACUGGUAAGUCAGUGGUGAAAUCUCGUCGCUUAACGACGAAACUGCCUUUGAUACUAUCAGUCUUGAAUCCGGUAGAGAUCUGUGGAAUUCCGAGUGUAGCAGUGAAAUGUGUAGAUAUCGAGAGGAACACCGGUGGCGAAGGCGAGUCCCUGGACAACUUCUGACGCUGAGGCACGAAAGCUAGGGGAGCAAACAGG
rnacentral:rRNA from 1 species